CAUGGAGUGGCGGACGGGUGAGUAACGCGUGGGCAACCUGGCCUGUACAGGGGGAUAACACUUAGAAAUAGGUGCUAAUACCGCAUAACGGGGGAAGCCGCAUGGCUUUUCCCUGAAAACUCCGGUGGUACAGGAUGGGCCCGCGUCUGAUUAGCCAGUUGGCAGGGUAACGGCCUACCAAAGCGACGAUCAGUAGCCGGCCUGAGAGGGCGGACGGCCACACUGGGACUGAGACACGGCCCAGACUCCUACGGAAGGCAGCAG
rnacentral:rRNA from 1 species